AGUGAACGCUGGCGGUAGGCCUAACACAUGCAAGUCGAACGGCAGCACAGUAAGAGCUUGCUCUUACGGGUGGCGAGUGGCGGACGGGUGAGGCAUACAUCGGAAUCUACUUUUUCGUGGGGGAUAACGUAGGGAAACUUACGCUAAUACCGCAUACGACCUACGGGUGAAAGCAGGGGAUCUUCGGACCUUGCGCGAUUGAAUGAGCCGAUGUCGGAUUAGCUAGUUGGCGGGGUAAAGGCCCAACAAGGCGACGCACCGUAACUGGUCUGAGAGGAUGAGCAGCCACACUGGAACGGAGACACGGUCCAGACUCCUACGGGAGGCAGCAGUGGGGAAUAUUGGACAAUGGGCGCAAGCCUGAUCCAGCCAUACCGCGUGGGUGAAGAAGGCCUUCGGGUUGUAAAGCCCUUUUGUUGGGAAAGAAAAGCAGCAGGUUAAUACCCCGCUGUUCUGACGGUACCCAAAGAAUAAGCACCGGCUAACUUCGUG
rnacentral:rRNA from 1 species